rnacentral:lncRNA from 1 species
GAGGAAGACAGCAAAAAUCAUUCUACUGCAUCAACCAUGGCCAUUAGAACCAUCAUAAUACAGAGUGAUGCCCCAAAAAGAAAGAAGAAGAGAGGAAAGCUACAGAAGAACCCGCGAAAGAAGCCGCACAAGCACCCAAAACAAUGCACCACACAGCUUUUUACCCGCACCCAAGCUUUUACUCCAACCAGCCUAGCUUCACCAACUUCCAGCAACCAAUGACCUAGCCUCUUCCGCCCCACAUACAACCGUACCACCAAACAAUCCCGCAACAUGCCAACCCAAAUCCACCUCAGAAGCCUCAAGAAACACUACUUCCUCCCCCAAGCAUGCCAGCCAUAAUGCCCAAACCAGAGCCCAGCACGCAAAAAAAAAACCAAAACUCCUUACCUACCUUCGGCAUGAUAAUGCCAAUCAACGGAGGCUCCUCUUUAGAGUUCGAGAACAAGAGGCAGAGGCGAAACUAUUUCAGAGAAGUUAAUGUAAUCAUACCCGACGGAC